CUCCAGGGAGCAACUGUCAGAAUUGCAUUUCCCAGGGAGAAAUGGCGGAGUUGCAAUUCACUGGAGUGGCCACGAAUCUUCUCCUUUCUCUUCUACUUGUGACCAUAAUCACAGUGAAAUCAGUGGCAUGCCAGCAUGAUGUUGCCCUCAAGGGAAGCCCAUCCCAUGAGGAGACAGAAAAGGUGGCUCUUCUUUUGACCUGGAAAGGAAGCAACAAUAUUUGUGGGCAGCUUAUCUCUACUUCGAAUACAAGUAGAUGACUUGCAGAGUAACCUGACAGU